rnacentral:rRNA from 1 species
UGCGUAGGCGGAAUAAUAAGUCAGUGGUGAAAUCCUGUGGCACAACCACAGAACUGCCAUUGAUACUGUUAUUCUUGAAUAUAGUUGAGGUAGGCGGAAUGUGUAAUGUAGCGGUGAAAUGCUUAGAUAUUACACAGAACACCGAUUGCGAAGGCAGCUUGCUAAACUAUUAUUGACGCUGAGGCACGAAAGCGUGGGGAGCGAACAGGAUUAGAUACCCUGGUAGUCC